rnacentral:rRNA from 1 species
UGGUGGAGUGAUUUGUCUGGUUAAUUCCGAUAACGAACGAGACCUUAAUCUGCUAAAUAGUUGCGUUCACUUUGGUGGAUGAUCAACUUCUUAGAGAGACUAUGUACGUUUAGUACGUGGAAGUUUGAGGCAAUAACA